GGGCGGAGCGGCGCGCGCGGCCCCGCCCCGCUUCCUUUGUGCUCAGGCAGCUCGCAGCAGCCGCAGUCGCCGCCGCUUCCAGCCCGGGCAGUGCGCGCCUGCCCGCGUCUUCUCCCCCUCUCCUCCUUUCCCCCCCACCCCUUCCUUCCUAUUCCCUCUCCCCUCGCCCCUGCCGCUGCCCCGCUGCCCGCCAUGUCGCUGGGAGCCGGCCCGGAGGCGGGUUUCUCCAGCGAGGAGCUGCUGACCCUGCGCUUCCCCCUUCACCGCGCUUGCCGCGAUGGGGACCUGCCCGCCUUGUGCGCGCUGCUCCAGAGCUCGCCCCGCUCCGACCUGGCGGCCGAGGAUUCCUUCUACGGCUGGACGCCCAUCCACUGGGCCGCGCACUUCGGCAAGCUGGAGUGCCUAAUGCAGUUAGUAAGAGCUGGAGCUUCUGUAAAUGCCAGUACAACGCGUUUUGCUCAAACACCAGCCCACAUUGCUGCUUUUGGAGGACAUCCACAGUGUCUGAAUUGGUUGAUUCAAGUGGGGGCCAACAUAAACAAACAGCUAUGCAAAAAUAAGAAAUGGGGAAGUUUGUGUUGAGUUUUCAGAAAAGAAGGCUGGUGCAUUGAGAACAGCUGUGAGACACCAGGAGAAUUGUAGAAACAAUGAAGUGACUGGAUGCAGAGGCUAUAGAUCGCAUCUUCUCCUUGAUACCUGACAAAAGUAACUUAUUCAAUAAGUUAUUGCUGCAUAGUGGUAGAAUCUUCAGAAGAGAAAAUAGAAGAACUAUAAAUGCAUCUGGAGACCAGGUAAGAAUGUAAAGACACGGUGAUUAGAGAGGAAACAUGGCAUGCACAGAAUAAAGGUAUACAAAUAUCUGCUAAAUGAGAAGAGAAGAAUGAAUGAAAAUGAAUGAAUGAGAAGAAUGAAAGUUUCCAACUAUGAGGAUAAAGAGAAGAACUGACCAGUGAGAUUGAAAUGGAGUUGAAGAACAAGCUUGCUGUCCUGGAACCUGAUGGGGGAAAAGAAUUGCAUCUAGUGAGGGAGGUUAUAGCAAAGAAGAAAGUAGCAACUAGCCCCCAAAGAAGCAAAGAGUGCAGAGAGAUCUCUCCAUGGGCUGAGGGCACCAUGCAGAUGACUGUAAAGGAAAGCAGAAGGCAGUAUAAUAUGCAAUUAAAAAUAGGCAGGAGACUCAUUCCAGCUGAAGGAAGCCACCAAGACUAGCCAGUGACUCGGGAAUCUAUAAAUUCAUGGCCUGUCACCAGAGCUAAAUAGAUCUGUGAUCUUCCACAGGAGGAAGAGUACUGUAGUUAUCAAGUUUUCAAAAGAUAGUGGUGGUGGUAUCCUAUAGACUUCUAAGGGCAGAUUUAGGUAUUGACAGGCAAAGGACACUAAUAUAGAUGGUACUGCGAGCUGACUCUGUGGAAGCAUUGUGUGUUGUUAACAGCAGGCUCAAGUUUCACUUGAGUGUAAUAGCUUAUUUUGCCCCCACAAAAUGUUAACUGAACAUAUAAGAAGAGGUAUUCUAGGUGUAGUUCAAUGAAGAUAGCUCUGGUUAAUUAAAAUAUAGUAGAAACAAAAAAGUCUGUUGGGUUCUUAGUUAGGAUGCAGCUGGUCAGUCACACUGGUUUCACAUGAAUGAGCACUGAAAGCUAGGCAAACUUAUCUAAGAUGUAUCUGGAGUGUUUCAUACAUGGCUGUGAAGCAUAGUGCAUGCUUUGCUUUCCCCAGUUCCUUCCAGCUGUUUGUUGAAUUGCAGUCAAAUUCUACUAUUCUUGUUUGAUUUGAAGUCCUUAAUAAAUGAUCUUGGUUCCUUAUUUAACUUCCAAGCGCUGUCAGGUGACCAUCUAGGGCUUCCACCCACACUUUUGAGCUUCCAGAGCACUAUUUCCUGAUGUGUAUUUUGUUUGUUCCUUCCAGCUCGCUGACUGAUGCUGUACUUCAGACAGACAUAGUCACUGGCUAAUGCUUGUGUGAGGACAAGUGUUCCAUGGACACUGGAUACAAAACACAUGCUGAGAAAAAUCUGGGAAUACUUGAUAAUUAAAGUAGUAAAACUUUCCUUGCAAACUGACUCCUGUUCAUUGGCUACAGACUAACCCAUCACCUCUGGGAAAAGAGAAGGAUAGCUUCCGAAAAGGAAUCCACUCGAGUCUCUCAGUCUUUACGUAAACCUCCGGUACUCAGUAGAAUUUGCAUGCACGCUUUCUCAUGUGUGCCCUGAGGUACUGUAUUGUAGCCCAUGCUGCCUGCCCUGAAGUUUAGGAAAACAUGAAAAUGCAUAUCUCAGUGCUGGUGACAGCUGCCUGGGACAUUUCUUGGGCAGCAGCCAGGAAGGACUAAUGCUGAAAACUCCUUGUCCCAACUGUACCUUUCUCCCCAGAUAAGUUCUGUGAGUAUAUCUGUGAUACCCAGCCCUCUUAUAUUACUUUAUGUGCUGGCUAGCACCCAUCUGUCUCGUUUUAUGAUCAGUUGGGCAGUUCUCUCACUUCCAAGAUCACUAUAAAAAUGCAAAGGAGAAAGCUGAAGUGCCAAGCAGCGAUCUGCCUGUUCUGCCCAGCAGUGGAAUAAGAGAAAGUCCUACUAUAUAUAUAUAUUUUUUUUUAUUUUUUUUUUUUCAGUUCAGUGGGCAGUGCCUGCAAAUAGUUCUUAAUUGACUCAAGACCUGCAUUUGGCUAUCUGCCUGCUCUAGUUCACUGUAACAGUGCAAAGCAAUUAUACUGCUACUUUUACUUUCCAUGAGGGUUUGGUGGGUUGGUUUUUUUUAUGUUUUAUCCUUGUCACAACGCAGAUUGAUUUUUGUGCUGUUGUGGGUAUUAACAGCAGAUAAUCAUGAGUACUUUUUGAUUAAAAAGCCUGUUACUUCAUUUAAAUAUAUUUUCCCUCUAGCCUCAGCCUAUUAAACAUUUCUAUUGUAUAUUGCGUGUGUUGAUUUGCCCCCCCCUCCCAUUUUGUGUGGCUUGACUUAAAGAAGGGAUAAGAAAUACUGCAUCCUUACAAGUGGUGCUAAUAUACUUGUCAUCCAGCCAGUUACUGUCAUGUGCCAGUGAUGGCAAAUAGAUUUAGGAGGGUUAGAUUACCUACACUAGCAAGAGCUGUAAACACGGUGGUAUCCUUGGUGAGGAGGAAGAAGACACUCAUUCUUUGGUAUGUUACAGUUCUGUAUUUUAAACAACAGUUUGGACUAAAUCCAGAUAAAAAUAUUCGAUCAGUUCUCAUCUGCACUCAAAAUUCAGAAGGAGAAACCAUCAUGAAUUCAAAGCAUUUAUAGCGAAGAAUAAGAAAAAAUACUCUGUAUUCUCCAACAUCUACUUCUUGGCUUCAGAAAGGGAUUAUGUUGGUGAAACUCCUAUUCAUAAAGCAGCACGGUCUGGUAGUAUGGAUUCCAUAAGUGCCCUUGUGGCUCAUGGUGCGCAAAUAGACUGAAGCAUAUUCUGUGCACAGUAUGUCCUACAGCCAUAAAAAUGGUUGCUCCACUAACUAUGGUAUUCAUGGACCCUUGAAGAGGGGGAAGCAGGUGGUCACAAUGUCCUCAUAUGAGUGAAAAGCUACGUAAUUCGAAUUGACUUGAUUUUUUCAAGUAAUCCUAGAAAGGGGGAGCAUUCCAUAUAGAAACUGCUGAAACUGCCACAGGUGCUUCUCCGAAAACCUUACAGUUGUGGCAUUGAAUGUUCAGUAUCGCUUCCUUUCUGCACACAAGGCAUACUGUUGAGCUUGAGAAAUGCCAGUGGCCUGACAGCAGCAGACCUUGCACAUACCCAGGGCUUCCAAGAAUGUGCCCAGUUUCUCUUGAACCUCCAGAAUUGUCACCUGAAUCGUUUCUAUAGCAGUGGCACCUUAAAUGGGGUUCAUCAGAAUGCAGGUCCCAAUCCAUUCAGUGGUGGGACAAGUCGAAAGAGAUCCUUUGAAGAUACAGAGUCUGCUGGAGUAAAGAAGGCUAGAACUGAAGCUUACAGCUUUGAUGGCUUAAUACCAAUGAUGAAUGGAGGAGUUGAGGACGAUGCUGACAAUAUGCACGUUGAUAGAGAGUUUGCUGUUGUAUCAGAUAUGAAUAGCAGUAGCUCCAUAUUGAAUGCACUGACAAAUGGAUGUGCCAUCAAUGGACAUUUGGAUUUCACCACCGCACAACAGCUCAGUGGGAUGGAUGCCAGGCGUGAGGAGUGUUUAACACCUAACGGAAUAAUUCCUGGAAUAACUUCUCCCAGUAGGCAUCGAAUUCAUACCAGUAACGGCACCGAGGAACCAGAAAAAGCCAUGAAUAAUUCCACUGAAAUGUGUGGAUCGCUGCAUCUGAACGGAAGCCCGAGUAGCUGUGUUUCUAACCGGCCCUCAUGGGUGGAAGACCCUGGAGAUACUUUGCACUAUGGACACUAUCAUGGGUUUGGGGAUACUGCUGAAAGCAUCCCAGAGCUCAGUAGUGUUGUUGAGCAUUCCAAUUCUGUCAAGGUUGAACAGAGAUACGACAAUACUGUCCUAGGCACAAUGUAUUUGUAUCACGGUUCGUAGGUGAUGACCUUUGUAUCGAAUGCAUAUUGAAAUUGCUACCAAAUGAAACGGGGGACAGAAUCCUCACCUAGCAUUAAAUUUGAAGAUCGCAGUUUAUUGCUAUUUUUACACUUUGUUUAUAUGAAAAGUAAACUUUUAAUUUGACAGCCUUAUACAAUAGUUGUAGUUUGUUGCAUGUAUGGGGCUUACUUAGUGAUAAAAUAGGUGCUGUUAUGAUGGAAUGUUUAUUAUUUUUAUUAUUACGGAAUGUUCUGGUUUUGUAUUUUUUUAUUUCUAAGCUUGUGAACACUAUCUUUCCCUUUUUAGAGCUGUUUUAUUAAAACAAUGUUUAACGGAAUUUUGUGAAGAAAAUGUUACGUAUGUGCAUCACUUAGAAGCGAAGAUCUUACUUUUCCAUAUCUUCUGCUGAAGCUAUGGUAGCAAUAUCAAUGCCAGCUAUCACUAUGCAAGGUUGAAAGUGGCAAUCUUCUGGAGCUUCUCUGACUUUAUAGUUUGUACAUUUGUUUGGUAUAAUUAGAUGUUCACCUUUUCUGGACGAGUUGUUGAAAAACGCAGAGACAAACUUGGACGAAGUUAACCGUUUCACUUCCUGUGUAGUGUAGGAGUGCUUUUCGUUGUUGUUGGGCUCUUUGCAUUAUAGAGUGGGAAAGUGGGCUGCCUUUGUUCGGUCACAGUUGGGUGUGCUCAGGUUAGCUCUGAAUUUGUGGCGGUUUCCUUUGGCUUCUCUCCUUUAUACGUACGCUUGAUAUUUUACCAUUAGCUCACAGACCGGAGGCAUGUUGGCACUGUUCUGCUUUGUACGCAGUUUAAAAUUGCUGUUACUUGUUAUAGAAUUUGCCAAGUCAAAAAUAUUUGAGUUUGACUGUCUUGGAUAUACAUUUCUUGUCCUUUCUUUUAACAUAUGCUUCGGAAAUGUAAUGUUGUGUACUCUUUGGGCAAUGCUCACGGAAAAUACAUUGUAUUUAAAGCUUAAUACACAAAUCAAAAUUCAUAUAAGUGCACUAUAUGAGCACUAAUAAGUUGCUGCUUUGUGUUAUGAUAAGUGAAGAGUGGGGAAGAAUAUGGUAAAUGAGACAAGCCCUCUGAAUUGUGUUGAUUUUUUUGUUCUUGUUUUGUUUAAAAAGGGACCUUUACGAAUUGGAUUUAAAAAAAAUAAACCUAUCACAUUGUAUCUGAA